CCCCUAGAUGUUCUGGGCCGCACGCGCGCUACACUGACAGUUCAACAAGUCUUAACCUUGGCCGAUAGGUCUGGGUAAUCUUUGAACGCUGUUCGUGAUUGGGAUAGACCUUUGCAAUUAUGGGUCUUCAACGAGGAAUUCCUAGUAAACGCAAGUCAUCAGCUUGCAUUGAUUACGUCCCUGCCCUUUGUACACACCGCCCGUCGCACCUACCGAUUGAAUGGUCCGGUGAAAUCUCGGGACGGCGGCUUGGUCGCUUGCGUCCGACUGCUGAAACUUGAUUAAACCAUAUCAUUUAGAGGAAGGUGAAGUCGUAACA
rnacentral:rRNA from 1 species